AUUUCUGCAGCUGAUCUCAUUGAUUUAUGAUACCUGAUUCAAGUAGCAGUACUCCAUGCCAGGACAAGAGGCAACUGGCACAAACUGGAACACAAGAGGUUCCCUCUGAGCAUCAGGAGACACUUCUGUACUGAGGAUGACGGAACACUGACAACCUUAAGCAUUCUGUGAUUCAGUGAUUAAAAUGCCAGCUGGAAACAUCAACCAUCUCCUCUAUUGCCGAAUCCAUACCAGUUUCAAUGAAAAGACAAGAAGAAAAGCCUCAGAUGGUGCCAGAGCCAGGAAGAUGGUCCACCUGGGGCAGGUGGCACAAGCACAGGGAAGGCAAUCAGACCUUGACUGUGCUGAUGGUGUAGGAAGCUGGAAGAACAUAGGAAUACUUGAAUACAUGUACGCAGACCACCCUGGUGAGGCCUUAUCUCCUGAGAUGAAACCAAUGAAUGCACUCCAGGUGGAACACAGUUCCUACAAGGCCUGGGAUCCUACCCUUCUGUUUGGUGUUAACACUCACCGGCCACAGCUGCUUCCACAUAAUGUCUCACAGCUGCAUCACGUAUAAGUGUGGCUUGGAUGAUCAAGGGAUAUUUAUGUCUUCUGAGGGCAAUUAGAAGUGGCUGAAGAGCCAUCUCACUGCAUUGUGUGACUGCAUCAAAAAUAGCAAUUGUUUAAGUGUCAGCACUGCUUGGAGGAUGUGGUUCAAAGCAGAAUUCAAAGCUUCCCAGAAGCGUGCAAUGAAAAAGCACAAGAAGAAACAAUGCACUAUCAAGUUACUGAAGCUCUAUAGCAGAAUAAUUAAAAGUUCUGUUGAUCCUGUCCUUGUGGGACCUCUGAAUACUGACUACAAUUUUUUAAGUGUAUGUGUCUGUCUUAUCACAGCAUUUUGAAACUUCAUAAGCCUCUCUGAGUCCUCUGUGACCUGGAGAACAUCACGACUCACCACCUAAAUAGCAUUCCUGAGCAAUUUCCGCUUUCAGUUAUGUGCCUGGAAAACAGAGGAAAUUUCCUCUCGAAUAUACUACUCUUGAACAAUUUUCCUGUCUUCUAUGGGCUUGCUGGUUAACUUGGAGUAAAUCACCUCAUUUCUGGUCCUACAUCACCCACAAAAAUGCCUGAAAUAUUAAGUCAACUGCUGAGAGAACUGUUUAUAGAUAUCUUAGUCCAAGAGAUGCUUCAAAGGGAAAGAGUAUAUACUUCUAGAAAUAACGUAUGUUUCUAGUUAAAGCCAACUAAUUCUGUGCAUUAAUACAUAUCUCUGAAUCUUAAGAUGAAUGUUUCAAGUAUCGAUAGUGCAGAUAAUAUCCAAUCUGCAUAUAAUGGAGAUUUGAUGAACAAAAACACUGCCAUGGACAAAAAUCCAUUAAAACAAAGAAAGUGCUCUGUAGCAAAGAUUCUCUUGCAAUUCUCUUGCUAUUUCUCUUUCUACUGUCUACAUGACAGAAAUACAUUGUAAUACCACAAAUCAAAUCGGAAUUAAAAAAAAAAAAAAAUUGAAGUCC
rnacentral:lncRNA from 7 species